AUUGAACGCUGGCGGCAGGCCUAACACAUGCAAGUAGAGCGGGGCGGCGGACGGGCGAGUAAGGCCUAGGAAUCUGACUGGUAGAGGGGGCUAACGUCCGGAAACGGGCGCUAAUAACGAAUUCUAUCAGAUGAGCAUAGGUCGGAUGAGCUAGUUGGUGGGGUAAAGGCCUCCACAGGAGACGAUCCGUAACUGGUCUGAGAGGAUGAUCAGUCAAACUGGAACUGAGACACGGUCCAGAUACCUACGGGAGGCAGCAGUGGGGAAUAUUGGACAAUGGGCGAAAGCCUGAUCCAGCCAUGCCGGGGGUGUGAAGAAGGUCUUCGGAGUGUAAAGCACUUUAAGUUGGGAGGCGUUACCAACAGAGUAAGCACCGGCUAACUUCGUGCCAGCAGCCGCGGUAAUUC
rnacentral:rRNA from 1 species